AGUGUGAUAACUGGGUAAAAUGGUGGUUUCCAAGUUUUCUAAGGAAUCUCCAUACUGCUUUCCAGAUUGGCUACACCAGUUUGCAGUCCCAGCAGUAGU
rnacentral:pre_miRNA from 1 species